AGAAGAAGAGAAAAGAAGGGAAAAUAAGGGGAAAAGGAGAAAAAAAGUAGAGGAAAUAAUUAAAAAGGUAAGAUUUAUGGUUUUAAGUGUAUAAUAUAUUAAAUUUCGGUUUUGAUUAAUUAUAGAGUUUUGAAGUUUGUAUUUUGAGUUAAUUGAUGAAUUAAUUUGAAGGUUAGGAGUUGAUUAUUGUGGCUAUUUGAUUAAUUAGUUGAUUUUGAGAGAUUGAAUUGAAGGAUAAUGAUUUUGAGUUAUGAUUUUGUUUAAAUGGUGAAAUUGUGUUAGAAAUCAGGGGAUAACAGUAGGUAAUCUGUUGAAAUUCUGGGUUUGAGGUUGAAGAUGACGAAAAUUCAGUUUGGUCCCUCAAUUUAUGGAAAUUGCAGUUUAGUCCCCGAACUUUGGAAAUUUUUACAGAUUGGUCCCUGGGGCAUAAAUUGAGGUUCUGAACAGAACUGAGGAUGAUUUAAGGACAAAAUUCCAGUAUAAUUAAUAUUUUCAGUUUGGUCCUCCAAUUUGACAGAAAGUAUAAUUUGACCCUAAAAAUUUGGUAAAGUUCCAGAAUGGUCCUUGGAGCAUAAUGAUAUAUCCUGGACAGAAUUGAGGAUUAAUUAUGGAUAAAUUUCAGUAUGGUUAUAUAUUUACAGUUCAGUCCUCAAAAUUUGGUAAAAUUACGUUUUGGUCCCUGUUUUGGAAAAUUGUCGUUUUAGUCCCUAAACUUGGGAGAUUAAGCCCGGUUUAUUUUAUGCUUUGGGAUCUUUUGUUUGAUCUGUUUUUGAGUAUAUUUUAUAUAUUUAUUUUAGGUUCUCCUAACGAUCCUUAAUAGGAUUUUCGGGUCUUUCGUCCGACAUUCCUUUUAGUUCUGUAUUUUCCGGGUGAGUGGAAUAAUCUUUAAUAUGCAUAUAAUAUAAAUAAAUAUGUAUGUUGAUUAUACAAUGAGUGCAACUAGUAAAUUUCUUGAAUAUUUACAUAUGUUGCUUUAUUUUCCGAGUACUCAUUUAUUCUUGAAUUUGCACUCGCAAUCUGUUAAAGUAAAUUCUAUUUGAUAUGAUAUACGUUUCUUUGAUGAUUAUGUGAAUAUCUGUUAUGCCUUGAUAUGGGACUUGUCAGUACUCCAUGCUAACGGAGAAUAGUUAGCCUAUGUGCACACAGUAUUCUGUAUACCUAGCUGAUGAGAGAGGCAUCAGCCUGUGACGAUUGAUCAUCCCACAGUGGUCACCGACGGGUGUCAUCUGGUCACCUUCGGGUGUCAUCUGAUCUCUGACAUGUAAUCCACUACGUUAUGAUAAUAUGUUUAGUAUGAAUAUGUAUAUGUAUAUCAAGAUAAAUAUAGUUAUAUGAAAUAUCUGAAAUGUAUAUUAAAUGUUAUUCCCUCACUGAGUUGGUUGAACUCACCCUCAUUUUUAAUAUUAUUUCAGGUUCUUAGUUUCUGGGACUUUGUUGAGUGUUUCCGCUUCUUCAGUUCUGGUCGGUAUGCCUUGCUUGUUCGCGAGGCUUUCCUUUCAUAUUUGAUUUGAUGUCUUAGACGCUCCACUG
rnacentral:lncRNA from 1 species